rnacentral:misc_RNA from 1 species
GGAAGUAAGAGUCGUAACAAGGUUUCCGUAGGUGAACCUGCGGAAGGAUCAUUAAUGAGUUGUCAUGGGGUUCGAUGCUGGCAGCCAGUUUUUGGAUGCAUGUGCUUGCCCUAACAAUCAUCUUCUUCCAAACACCUGUGCACAUUUUUGAGGGAGUCUUGAGUUGGUUGCCGCUCUUGGGUGACUUUCUCACAUUCCCUUAAAUCAUUAUACGCUAUUAACAAUGUUGAACGUGCUCUGUGCCGCAAGGCCAUUAAUAUAAUACAACUUUUAACAACGGAUCUCUUGGCUCUC